rnacentral:rRNA from 1 species
UAGAGUUUGAUUCCAUGGCUCAGGAUGAACGCUAGCGGCAGGCUUAACACAUGCAAGUCGAGGGGUAUAGUUCUUCGGAAUUAGAGACCGGCGCACGGGUGCGUAACGCGUAUGCAAUCUACCUUUUACAGAGGGAUAGCCCAGAGAAAUUUGGAUUAAUACCUCAUAGUAUAAUGACUUGGCAUCAAGACAUUAUUAAAGUCACAACGGUAAAAGAUGAGCAUGCGUCCCAUUAGCUAGUUGGUAAGGUAACGGCUUACCAAGGCUACGAUGGGUAGGGGUCCUGAGAGGGAGAUCCCCCACACUGGUACUGAGACACGGACCAGACUCCUACGGGAGGCAGCAGUGAGGAAUAUUGGACAAUGGGCGCAAGCCUGAUCCAGCCAUGCCGCGUGCAGGAUGACGGUCCUAUGGAUUGUAAACUGCUUUUAUACGAGAAGAAACACUACUUCGUGAAGUAGCU